rnacentral:rRNA from 1 species
CAAAUAGAGGUGAAUUUUUGUUAAUAAUUUUAUUGGGCAACCCCUUCUUCUAUAAGUUUAAUUCUAGCCAAAUAUAUAUACAAAACCUGUUGUAUAUGAAAUAUUAAUUAGAAAUACAGAAAUCUAGUACAAAAAAUUUUGUCUAUCAAUUAAUUUGAUAAAAGCAGGCAAAUGACCUAUUAGGUGCCAGCAUUCGCGGUUACACCUAUAUUUACUAUAUACUUCAUGGUUUAGAGCAAAUAAAAACAUAAUAUAAAGCAAUUUAGAGGUAAAAUUCUCCACGCUUUUUAAACUAUUUAUUAAUCUUAAAAACUAAACAAUAAACGAGGAUUAGAGACCCUCCUAUAUAACAUAUAUAUAAACCCAGGGUACUAAAUGCUAUGCCCAAUAAACCCAAAGAAUUUGGCGGCAAUCAACCUUUCCAGAGAGACCUGUAUAUUAAUUUGACAGUCCCCCCUACCUCUUACUCUAAAUAAAAUUUGCAUACCGUCAUUUAAAUUUUACUUUAAAGUAAAUAUUUGCAAGGACACACCAAUAUUAGAUCAACGCGCAGUAUAUAUUAGAGCUUUUUAUGGGUCUCAAUUUAAAAUAAAUAGAAAAACCUUAAAACAGGUUUAGAAAGAGGAUUUGGGUGUAAUAAGCUUUUAAAAUAACCUUAUGAAUAAGCCAUUGAUUGUGUACAUAUCGCCCGUCGCCCUCGACACGAGGUAAGUCGUAACAUAGUAGAAGUACUAGAAAGUGUUUCUUUAUUUAC